GAAUCUGGAGACAGGUGCUGCAUGGCUGUCGUCAGCUCGUGUCGUGAGAUGUUGGGUUUAAGUCCCGCAACGAGCGCAACCCUUGCCUUUAGUUGCCAGCAGUUCGGCUGGGCACUCUAAAGGGACUGCCGGUGUUAAACCGGAGGAAGGUGGGGAUGACGUCAAGUCCUCAUGGCCUUUAUGACCAGGGCUACACACGUACUACAAUGGCCGAUACAAAGGGCAGCGACACUGCGAGGUGAAGCCAAUCCCGUAAAAUCGGUCUCAGUCCGGAUUGGAGUCUGCAACUCGACUCCAUGAAGUUGGAAUCGCUAGUAAUCGUGGAUCAGCAUGCCACGGUGAAUACGUUCCCGGGCCUU
rnacentral:rRNA from 1 species